GUAACACGUGGGCAACCUGCCUGUAAGACUGGGAUAAUUUAGGGAAACCGAAGCUAAUACCGGAUAGGAUCUUCUCCUUCAUGGGAGAUGAUUGAAAGAUGGUUUCGGCUAUCACUUACAGAUGGGCCCGCGGUGCAUUAGCUAGUUGGUGAGGUAACGGCUCACCAAGGCAACGAUGCAUAGCCGACCUGAGAGGGUGAUCGGCCACACUGGGACUGAGACACGGCCCAGACUCCUACGGGAGGCAGCAGUAGGGAAUCUUCCGCAAUGGACCAAAGUCUGACGGAGCAACUCCGCGUGAGUGAUGAAGGCUUUCGGGUCGUGAAACUCUGUUGAUARGGAAGAACAAGGACCAGAGUAACUGCUUGAUCCUUGACGGUUCCUAACCAGAAAGCCUCGGUUAACUACGUGCCCCCCGCCGCGGUAAUACGUAGGUGGCAAGCGUUAUCCUGAAUUAUUUGGCGUAAAGCGCGCGCAGGCGGUUUCUUAAGUCUGAUGUGCAAGCCCACCGAUCACCCGUGGAUCUCCAGUGAACAUUGGGGAACUUGAGGGCAGAAAAGAAAAGGGGAAUUCCAGKGUGUAGCUUUUGACAUGCGUACACAUGUGUGUGAACUCWCGUGGGACCUGGGCGGGAUCUCUGGCUUGAAGCCUGUACCAUUCGCGGACAGUAUGGCAUUAGCACACCAGAUUUGACCACCCUGCACCACCUGGCAKUGAACAGUCUCAUUUAACAUGAAGAAGGUUACCACCCCAUUCAGUGCCGUGGAUUCCGGCUUUCAGAGUUGAACCGGAUUGGGACAGGGUUGCAAGCACUCAGCCCCUAAAAAUACUCUCAACUGAAUUACACC
rnacentral:rRNA from 1 species